rnacentral:tRNA from 1 species
UCCCUGGUGGCUCAGAGGGUAAAGCGUCCGUCUACAAUAAGGGAGACCCAGGUUCAAUCCCUGGGUCGGGAA